UGGGGAAUAUUGCACAAUGGGCGCAAGCCUGAUGCAGCCAUGCCGCGUGUAUGAAGAAGGCCUUCGGGUUGUAAAGUACUUUCAGCGAGGAGGAAGGCGUUGUGGUUAAUAACCGAAACGAUUGACGUUACUCGCAGAAGAAGCACCGGCUAACUCCGUGCCAGCAGCCGCGGUAAUACGGAGGGUGCAAGCGUUAAUCGGAAUUACUGGGCGUAAAGCGCACGCAGGCGGUCUGUCAAGUCGGAUGUGAAAUCCCCGGGCUCAACCUGGGAACUGCAUCCGAAACUGGCAGGCUAGAGUCUUGUAGAGGGGGGUAGAAUUCCAGGUGUAGCGGUGAAAUGCGUAGAGAUCUGGAGGAAUACCGGUGGCGAAGGCGGCCCCCUGGACAAAGACUGACGCUCAGGUGCGAAAGCGUGGGGAGCAAACA
rnacentral:rRNA from 1 species